GGAGUGCCCGUCCCCGGGCAGGGUGCGAGAGCUCUCCUGUGCCCAGUGCCCACUUGGCAACUUUCUCUUGCAGAACUUGGUGAAGACGACUCUCUGGGACUUCCCGGCAGCGUCCCUGCACCUGAAGGUGAUUCUGGCCCUGGAGCAGUGGAGGUAAGAGCGAGGAGCUGCGGGGGCUGUGAGGCAGGAUGACGUUCCUCCUGUCGGCUGAGCAGCUUGGGAAGAUCAGGAACGCAGAGCAGGCACUGCUGCAGCUGCAGGUAACUUGCUGUCCCUUCCCAGCACAAGCUGUGUGCUGGCAGCAGCCGUGAUCCUGCAUCUCCGUCCCUCUCCCUGGCCUUCAGCAAAGGCUGGGAAGGGAAGUUCAGUCGCCCUAACUGGGACUCCCCUUUUUUCCCCGUGCUCGUUCCAGCCAAGGCCAUGAACAGGCUGUUGCAGACAGAUGACCCUGCGAGCUUGUGUGAGGGGCUGAGUGCUCGCAGCGACGCCUCUCAGCAGCUCCAGACCUCCAUCCACAUCGCAGAGAUGGUUUGCAAAAACGUCCCCAAAGAACAGGCUGCAGACUUCAUGAAUGCCAUCCAGGAGCCCUUCCGGCGUGCCAGAGGAAGCCGCGUGCGUGCUGCAGGCAACUGGAUGCUCACCUUUCUGGAAACAUGGGGAAAGGACAUUGGUCCAGACGUGCGAGGAAUCCUCUCCACCCUGCACACCUGCACAGAGUCCAUGCGGGAGCCCUCGUUCAUGUACUUCGUGCACCAUGUGGUGCUGAUCCUGGCCCGCCAUCACGAGAGGCUCACGAUGAACGUCAUCCUCGAGCAGUUUGUGCCUAUGGACAGAAACACACUGGAGCUGUGGAGGACUCUGGGGAGAGACAGCAUUGGCAUCAGUGUGCUGAAGCGCUUAGCGAGGAAGCUGAGGAGAGUGGGAGACGACAGCUCCCAGCCCAGCUCGCCCAGUGGCAGGCUGCACGCCCACCAGCCUUCUGCGGAGUCCUUGACUGUACGUUCAGAGGCUUUGUGCCUGCUCCCCCACUCCCAGGCCAAGGGCAAGGCGUUGGGUGCCCUUUGCAAGCGUCUCUGGACGCUGCCAGGACACUGCAGCAGGACACUGCAGCAGGACACUGCAGCAGUGUCCUGGCAGUAGCAGUUCGGGACGGCCGGGACAGCCGCUGCUCCCAGGCUGCAAGGCUGUCCUGGAGAUGGAGAUGGGGCGUGCAGGCAGUAGAAGUGCCCCAGGCAGCCAGCGGGCCGGGGCUGGUGGCAAAGCUCUUGUUUAACGGGUGCUUGUCGGGGGGUCUCAUUUCCCUGCAGGUCACCCGUGCCAUCUCUGAAAUGGUGUCCAUGCAGUCCAAGGAGGGGGUCCAGAGCUUGCUUCCCUCCCUCCUCCCUGGGCUCCUGCUGCAGCUCAGCAAGGCAUUGGGGGAAGAGAUGCUGUUUGCUCCCCUCAGCCCCUGGAGAGGGCACGCUGAGGAUCAGCGGCAAGAGGGCAACGUGUGCAGGUCAGGAGCAG
rnacentral:lncRNA from 1 species